CGAUAUUUCACAUAUUCACGCCGUUGGCCGUUACCUGUAGGCUAACGAGCAAAGUAACAGUUUAAAAUAGUAAGUUAAUGCUGCCAAUUUCCACGUAAAGAAGGAUUAACUAAUUAACUACAACCAAAUUUCCUCUCAGAUAUCCAGAAAGUCCACACUACAGUUUGACAGCGUUAUCCACCAGUUUGUGUUUCCAAACAAAGCCCGGUUCAUGAGAGUGGAAGAAGUCACGGCUUGGAGUUGAGCAGAGGAAACCACACACAUAGACCACACUGGGUUGCAGGUCCUGAUGGUCACAACAUGCCACUCACUGGGGGCUUCCACUUGAGGAGUAAGCUGACAGGAUUCAGGAGGUGGGAUACAAUUUAAGGUUGUUGUCAAAGGAGAAGAAGAGAGAGCGGUUGUUGAAGAAGAAGAAGAAGAAGAAGAAGAAGAAGAAGAAGAAGAAGAAGAGAGAGUGGUUGUUCCUGAAGAAGAAGAAGAGAGCGGUUCUUGAAUCGCACCGCUAUGUCGCUAUGGCUUGGACAGGUCAGAAAGGUGAUGUUGUCACCUGUUGGAUGGUUGUGGGUCAUUCUGCCGAUCUCAAUGCUGACCUCCACCAGGUUGUCCAGUCUCUCGGGCUGCCAGUAUCUCAUACCCACACACAUGGCCUUGGCUGCUGCCCCGAAGCCUGACCCUGCACGGAAACAUAUGUCCACACGUCAGAACACACAUUUUUAUAAAACAUGUUGUUUAUUUUUAAUAAAUAACUUUAUCUUAA